GUUUCAUUAGAGCAUAAAAGUUUCAACUAAGAACACUAGUGUAUCUUCUGAGUGCUGACAUUAAAGUAGCUAAAACCACAGUUCUGAUGUGACCUUUUCUAGCAAACGCCAAAUAAACCAAGUGAUAAUUGCUGUCCGCAUUCAUCUAUAUGACGAUUGAAACAUUUCAUGAGUCUGAUUUUUAUUUGCCAUAUGGUGCGAUAUAAUGAUCAGCUAGCUGCAGUGGCUGCACUCUGUGUGCAAUAUGAGGCAAAUUUUAGACCAAACAUGAGCAUUGUGGUGAAGGCACUUCAACCUCUUUUAAACCCUCCUCGUUCUGCUCCUCAGACUCCACAUAGGAACCCCUAUUGAUCAAAUAUACAAUCCCCAUCUCAUCUUAUUCAUGAUGAUUAAUCAAAGUGUAUUAUACAUUUGUUCUGUAUUUGUGUAAAUUUCUGGGACCUUAUCUCAGUAACUCUUCUGUCAAGUCCCACAUGUGAAGAGCUAUGUAUGUCUCUAUGUCACUAUAGUUUAUGUUUUCUGUGAUUUAGUUUGUGUGGGGAGAACCAAAUUUUGUUUGUUUGUUGUAAAUUUAUGUUUUAAAAAAAAAAAAAAUUUCUUAAUACUGAUACUACAUUAUUUAGAUGAUGUUUUGCCACAAGUCUAGAUGAUUGGAAUUUGCAAUACACAUCAAAACAAACCAUAAGCUUGUUAUGUCUCUCAUAUCUCGAACAAAAACUUCUCAAACAGUUUCAUGUGUUCAGGUUGGAGGGCAAUGGCCAAGGAUAAGCUGCCAUCAUUUGUAGGACUUGGUAGCACAAAAGACAAACCCUCGUAUGCAAUUGCACCAGGUCCAACAUAUAUGGGACGACCCCAACCAAAGUCUGCAUCAUACAUGGGUAAUCUGGCCCAGCUUGUGAUUCCCAAGUUUGGGGAUUUGUAGGUCUGUGCACCGCGGACCAGUGCUGACAGAUCAGGCUGCAUCUCAAGGUAGUCAAGAGCAGACCUCAGGUAGCUAUCGUCCAUGCUAGCUAUAGCAUCAUGAAUGAUCCCUGCAGCAUACGAUGUUGGCUUUGAUAGAAGAUCCCCUACAACAGUCAAUGGUGCCGCAGCAAAGACCACAUUGCCAAAGAAACCAGGGGGCAGCUGCGGACGAAACCUAGACCUUCCAUCAGUUGCAAUGUACAGCUUGGUCUCUUGGUCGUCUGGAAGUCCGCGAGCUUUGCCCACUGAUCUCCACACGUGGGCAGCCAAGACCUCGUAUGAGCUAUAGCUUAGAGUGUUCUCCUGAUUGGAUUUAGCCUUAAGAGAAACAAGCAGGUCGCGUGAUAUUUUGAAAAUAGACACUGUGGUAUCAUCAGGGACUGGUUUGGAUGACAGGAUCCUCAUACUAGGGGAAGGCUGAUAUUCAACAUGAUGAAAAGCAGCCUGAGGCGGGUAUCUAGCGCGGAGGAGAGUUCGGUCAAUGAAGGGUUGAAUGGUAAGGUCAAGACCACGGGCCAUAUCAGACCAUGUAUUGAUAAAAUGGAGAGCAGAGAAACCAUCAGCCACGUGGUGUUGCAUUCCAACCCCAAGGGAAGCUCCCCCACAUUUGAAGAAGGUCACCUACUACAUCAAGGAACUAGGGUCAAGCUAAGCUAAAUUAAAGAAAGACAAGUAGAAACCUAAAACACAAGGCACCGCUUAGUUAGUAUGCUAUGUAUAAAGAGGUUUGAAAAGGGAAAGAAUUUUUAAACCUGCAAGACGAGGAGCGGGAAAGUGUGGACGCCGAUGGAGUAAUCAACAUGGGGAAUAAGCAGGCCGAGAGUGGGUGUAGGAGCAAAGUCCCCAAAAUCGUCAAUGGCAGAGGGAGUAUCAGCAACGACGAAGAGAACACCCGCACCGUUGCAAUCAAUCUCGAUACGACCAUCAUCGUCCUUCUUCAAGCGACCAGCCACGGGGUAAAAGGGGACGAGAGCCUUGGAAAGAGCGUCCUUGAGGACCUGAGGGUCAAAGAAACUGGAGUCGCCGGUUGGUCUGUAGAAGUAGACGCUAGGGGUGUGGUACUUAGCCAUGAUGAGGUCAACGUUAGAGUUCCAAAGACUAGUGAUUGGGGUCUCGGCAGCAGGACGGACCAUGGUGGAAUCUUGGAUCUUAAUUUUCAUAGUAUUGUUACAAAGAUCAAGCAGAGAAAGAGUUUAUGUUUUGACUCUGAGCCGAGAAAUUGUGUAAAUAUAUAAUAAGUGGGUGUGGUGGUAUUGUAAACUUCGGCGCUUCUUCAUCACUCGGUCGUUAUAUAUUUUUCUUUCUAUAUUAUUAUUGAUCAGCCGCCCAAACAAUACAAAAUGUUGUCUAUCCAUCCAAAUCUAAAUCAUAUUUUAAAGGAAAGUUCACUAAAAUAUAUUUGAAGUCUUUAAAAAGUGUUAAACGUUAGGUAAAUUUAAAACUAAAUGACAUAUUUUUAUGUUUGAUGUUCAUCUAGUGGUGAUAGAAACAAAACAGCUAUAGCCAUAAUUGGAGAUAAGAACCACCUGCAUCGAAGGAGCUUUAAUUUAGUGGUAAUUCUUGGGGGGUGGCGACGAUGCUAUGCGGCGCGCCUUGAGAACCCAUGAGCUCUCUCGUCCGUUUUAAUACUUUGGUUGUUUGGGAGAUGUUGACUAUAAUUCAUUGAAGGAGUCUUUUAAGUUCAUGACCAAUGUUAGUAGACUUGUUCCAAGUUAGUACCAACAACGGCGACAUUGUCAUCUAAUUAUUUAAAAAUUGGUUGACAAAUCAUUAGACAUUUUCAUAAUUCUCAUCUAAGAGGGUAACACAAACAUAAAAAAAUUCAACGUUCAUCAUAGAAUUUUGUUUUUUCUCUCUUUCGAAGUUUUAAUUUCUUCAGUUCUGAUAUGAACAUUACAUGUAUGUGAAUUUUUGCUGAUUACCAUAAUUCUGGUUGUGUGUAUAUAUAUAGCUCAAGUUUCCUGAGUCAAACCAUUUUGUCCAUUACAAAAUGAAACAAGAUGAUCCGAUAUUGUUCUUUUGGAAAACAGUUUUGUAGCUUUUGUUUUGGUAGAGAGAUCAUAAGAUCACUGAUCUUACGGUCUUACCACUUUACUCUCUUUUCUUAGAUAGCCGAAUUUUCUUUCGAAACUGUUUGUUGUCUCUAUAUAACAAAUGUUUAUUUUUUUAUACAAAAUAUAUAAGUUAAUGGGAUUAAAUUGUUUUAUAAGAGGUUACAACGGACGCCACCAUCAAAGAACAGAUUCAUUCAUGAACCAGCUAGUUGUUAGUCACACGCAGCCUAUUGCUGCACUAGCCAUUCCAGUGGAUGAGUUGAAUGAUUUAACCGAUAACUUUAGUUCAGAGGCAUUAAUCGGUGAAGGUUCAAACGGUAGAGUGUUUUACGGUGUUCUUAAAAGCGGUAAAGCAGCUGCCAUCAAGAAACUUGACCAUAGUCACCAGCCAGAUCAUGUAUUUCUUUCUCAGGUAGAUACUAUAAAAUUAAAGUACAUUAUUUCAGUUUUUAAGGGUCUCUUCAUCACCGAAAAGAAUUGAACAUAGACCGUAUGUGUCAUUUGUUAAAUGAUCUAGCAUCAAACCAUUUCUUUGGAAAUGUUCUGUCAACUUUUAAUUGUCAAUGAUAUAGAGAAAAUUCUAACAGGUAUCAAUGGUUUCAAGAUUUCAACACGACAAUAUUGUUGCACUAAUGGGUUAUUGCGUUGAUGGCCCUCUUCAUGUUCUUGCUUUUGAAUAUGCUCCUAAUGGAUCUUUUCAUGAUAUUCUUCAUGGUGAGUGGUUUAUGUAAUCCAUAUUACAUUUCUUGGAAAUGGAUCAGUCACUCAAUAGUUAUACAUCUGAACACUAAUAUACAAGAGAACAUAAACUAUGCAAUGCAUGUGGUGUCUCUUUCCGUGGUACAGGUCGAAAAGGUGUCAAAGGAGCACCACGAGGUCCUGUUUUGACGUGGCAACAAAGAGUCAAAAUCGCUGUUGGUGCAGCCAGAGGACUCGAGUACUUGCAUAAGAAGGUUAACCCUCAGGUCAUCUACCGAGACAUCAAAUCCAGCAACAUACUUGUGUUCGACGAUGAUGUUUCCAAGGUUGCUGAUUUGGAUAUGUCUGAUAAAGUCAUUGACAUGGCUGCUCACUUCUACUCAACCGGUUGUGUGAUAGUAGGAAGCUUUGGUCAUAGGGCUCCAGAGUAGAUAUUUUUAUUUUAUCAAUUCUGAUCAUUCAUAGUGGUGUUUUGUCUACACGUCUUCUUUAAAAAUUUUGGGUUAUUUAUUUCAGAUACACACUGACAGGAACAUUGAGCACAAAGAGUGACGUGUACUGUUUUGGCAUUGUUCUGCUGGAACUCCUUACAGGUCGAAAAGAUAUUGAUUUCACCUUACCGCCUGGAGAGAUGAGUCUAGAGAGAUGGGUAGUGUUUAGUGCAUCUUUUCUUUCUUCUUUUGAUUCUUGUUUGCUUGCAUAAACAACAUCCAAAACCUCAUAUAGAGCACUUAUAGCCUAAAAUUUUGAAGAUUAGGUUGUUCCAACAACCAAAGAAACCGGAAAAAAAUAUUACUCCCUCGGUACCUAAAAGAUAAUUUUUCUAGGUUUUUCAUACAUAUUAAGAAAACAUCUAAUUAAAAAUUGAUGAAAGAGAACUAUAUCAUUUUUUGUGAUUCACCGCUUUUUUUAACUCUUAACCAAUAGUAUUUAGUUAUUUACCUUGAAAUUUGUAAAUUCUAAUUAAUAACGCAUUGAUAACUUAAAACAAUAAUCUUUUUGAAACGAAAUUUUUCACUAUUAGGAACAAAGAGUGAUUAGUAAGAAAAUGAAAUAUGUUGAUUAAUCAUCAAGAUGUUAUGUGUUGUCUUAGGCAAUCCCAAAAAUAAGCAAAAACAAAGUGGAGCAAUGCGUUGAUCCAAGGCUACUCGGAGAGUACCCUCCUGAAGCUGCUGGCAAGGUACUUAAUCCAAUAACACUGAUUUUUCCUCUUAUUGUUUCAUUGGAGCAUUAGAGAUUUAACUUAGUUUAUCUGCUGACAUUAGAAUCAAAGUAGCGAGAUCACAUUCACAUCAAAACAUUUUCAUGAGUCUGAUUUUGUUUGCUAUAUAGAUAUGGUGGGCCGGGAUAUAAUGGUCAGCUAGCCGCGAUGGCUGCACGCUGUGUGCGUAUUGAUCCAGAUUCUAGACCAGACAUGAGCAUUGUGGUGGAGUCACUAGAAUCUCUUUUAAAACCUCCUCGUUGAGCUCAUCAGAUCUCAAAAUAGGAAACUCUAUUGAUCAAAUAUAAUAUCCAAUCCUCAUCUCAUCAGCUUCAUGAUGAUUAAUCAAAGUGUAUUAUUUGAUUUGUAGUAAAUUCACUAAUACUACAUUUUGAUUGAGAUGGUGUUUUGCUACAUUUCUAUAUAUUAUAGUACCUAUGGUUCUACUUCUAUAUUUGUAUAUAUCACCCGCCUUUUGAGGCUACCUCAUAUUUGUGUUAGAUAAUUUGGUAGAUAGCAAUAAUUAAUAAUUAGUAGUAUUUUCUUAAGUAAAUGAUAAGUUCUCGACUUUAUGUUAGCAAAUGACAAAAAUGAAUUGUAAAAAACUUGGAAUAAAAUUUAAUGCAUUAUUGAUGGUGAGAAUGUAAAAGAUAAUGUUUUUAAACCAAACAUGAGCAUCCUCGUCAAGGCACUUCAACCUCUUUUAAACCCUCCUCGUUCUGCU
rnacentral:lncRNA from 1 species